rnacentral:rRNA from 1 species
UACGUAGGGGGCUAGCGUUGUCCGGAUUCAUUGGGCGUAAAGCGCGUGUAGGCGGCCAGGUAGGUCCGUUGUGAAAACUCGAGGCUCAACCUCGAGACGUCGAUGGAAACCAUCUGGCUAGAGUCCGGAAGAGGAGAGUGGAAUUCCUGGUGUAGCGGUGAAAUGCGCAGAUAUCAGGAAGAACACCCGUGGCUAAGGCGGCUCUCUAGUACGGUACUGACGCUGAGACGCGAAAAGCGUGGGGGAGCGAACAGG